rnacentral:misc_RNA from 1 species
GUAGGUGAACCUGCGGAAGGAUCAUUACUGCUACCUCUGCCAUCCCCCUAACCCGGGAUGUGUAGACACGCCACCCUUGUAUAAUAUAUAUUGUUGCUUUGGCAGGCCGCCUUCGGGCACCGGCUUCGGCUGGAUCGUGCCUGCCAGAGGAUUCCAAACUCUGAAUGUCAAUGUCGUCUGAGUACUAUUUAAUAGUUAAAACUUUCAACAACGGAUCUCUUGGUUCUG